UACCAUCAACAUUAAUGAAAGUGAUAAACAAUAUCUUGGGUUUUUCCAUUAUAAUGGUUACCAAGUGAUUCCAAUUUCUGGUUUAAUUCAUUUGCUUUGGUCUAAAUUUGCUUCAUUAACAGCUCACAGUACCAAUGAUUUAGCUGUUUGUUUGGAGCGUAUUAAAUUACAUCGACUUUCAUUGUUUGAUGAUCAGAAAUUAUCGUUUCUGAUUAAAUUUCUUCCAACCAAUCAAGGCAAAUAUAAGUUUACCAUAGAAACUUAUUCCGAUAAUUUAGUAAUCAUGACAGGCUUGUAUCCGAUUUAAAUGAUUCCAAUGGCGAUGAAAUGAUUGCUGAUCAAAAUCACGAUGAUAAUGGUCAAUAUGGUGAUUCCAAUUGUAUUGAGUCCAACAUUUUCUAUGGUAUUUUAUCACGUAAUGGUCUUCACUAUCAAGGUAAUUUAAGAAAUGUAAUCCAGGUAAAUGAUAAAACAAACACAGGAAUUAUGAGUAACAAUCAAGAUUGGAUUAUAAGGUUUGAAUCCAUGUUACAAUUUACCAGUUUUUUCAACAAUCAGGAAAAUUCAAGUUCAAUCACCAGAAAAAUGGACAAUAUACCAAUUCGUUUGGACGAAAUCCAUUGUAUUCCUGGACAAUUAUCGCAAGAAUCAACUGUCACCAUCACCUAUGAUAAAUAUUCAAAGAUAAUUAGAUCAGAAUCAAUUUAUAUCAGAGGAAUACAAUUUGGAUCAUUCCAAUCACAAUUACCAUGUAAAUUAAAUCCAAUGGAAGCGAGAAUUGAACAAUUUAUACCAACAUUUAACCAGAAAGUUUAUCAUCCAUUGGAAACAUGUAUCACAAUUAUAGUUGAUCAUUUGAUUGAAUUUACUGAUUGUAAUCAACAACAGCAAAACGAAUCACCAAUAACAUUGAUAACUGCAACUCUAAAUAAGGACAAUCGUAAUGAUACCAAAAGAAAUGAUGAAAAUUCACUUGGACAGUUAAUUAGAGAUGAAUUACAAAAACGACGAUCAUCACAAUGUAAUUGGAUUAAAUUUGAUUCACUUAAUCAGUUUACCAAUAAGAAAACACAAUUAGACGGAAAAGGAAAUGAUUUAAAUGAGAUGAUAAGUAACCGUUUGUUGAUUAUUGAAACAGAUAAUUCAACCAGUUUAAUUGAUUCUAUUAGUGAAUCAAUUAGUUUGAUGACAAAAUCAACUUUUGAUUUUAUUAUCGUUCGUCAAUCAACAACAACAAUCAAUUCUGAUUACGGUGAAAACAAUAAUGAGUUAGUUAAUUAUCUCAAAUCAAAUGGAUUAAUUUUUGUAUUUUCCUCACAAUCUGAUCAAUGUUUCAUUCAUCUGAUUCGUUGGUCAAUUGAUGAAAACUUGAUCAAUGUUCAUAAAGUUAAUUCAUCAUUUAAAUUACCUUCAUUUUCAAAUGAAUCAAAUAAUCUAAAUUGCUUAUUGGUUGACAAUUUAUCCUCAUCUAUUGGUUUAAUUGAUAGAUUAAAGAUUGAUAAUCAAACAAUACCAUUGAAAUGGUUAAUUAAUGAGACAAAUGAUGAAAAUUGUUUCAAUCAAUUUAUACCAAUUGGUUUAACUUAUACUGUUUUAAGUGAUGGUGUUCAAGGAAGUUACCAUUAUUUACCAAUCAACUUAUCAUCAUCAUCAUCAUCAUCAUCAUCAUCAUUAUCAACAACAACAUCAUCAUCAUCAUCAGUACCAUCAUCUAAAUUGUUACAAUCAACAAUAGGAGCAAGUAACUUGACUCGUAUUGACGAUGAGACUUUGAUUAAACUAUUGUCACCAAAUGAUUAUGAUACUUCAAUUGUUAUUUGUUGUAAUCAACUUGCUAAUUAUUGUGGUUCACUAAUUGGUUAUUCACGGAAAGGUUUACAAGAUGAAAUUGGUGAAAUUGGAAUAAUUAAAUAUGAUGAAAUCACAGAUGAUUAUCUAAUUGUCCACCGUUGGUCUUACAAUCAAAUUCAAUGGUCACUCGAGGAAGCAGCAACAAUACCAAUACCUUAUUCAUUGGCUUAUUAUGGUCUAAUCAUUGUUGGUCGUCUAGCACGUGGUGAAAAUGUUUUAAUUGUUAACGGUCAUACAUCGGUUGGUUGGGCUAUUAUAACAAUUUGUUUAUCAUUUAAUUGCACCAUUUACCUGUCGGUGGAAACGGAGGAGGAAAAGGUUAACCUGGUAAAACGUUUUCCCUCACUGGUUGAUAAACAGUUUCUAAUUACAAUAAACGGCCAAGAAAUUGAGCAAACAAUUAAAAUUUUAACUAAUGGUUACGGAUGUGAUUUAGUUAUUAACACUAACAGUAAUAAUAAUAUAACCAAUAGAGAUGUUAAUAGUUACGAUCAGGUCAAAGGUAAUCAAGAGUUUUGUUGAAAUGUUUAUCGAUUGGCGGAAGGUGCGUUGACCUUAACAAGUUUCCCAUGUCGAUUGACGAUGACCUGGGAUUGGCCAUUUUCCUACAAAAUAUAACCUAUUAUGGUGCUACACCGGAAGGAGUUUUCCAAUCAAUUGGACCAAAUAAAACAGGAACCACAGGUAAUCAUCCUCAUCACCGUUUAGCUGAUUUAAUGGCCAACCAAAUAAACAGUGGAAUCAUUUGCCCAUUGAUUGGUGUUGAUUCACCUGAAAUCAUAAAAAUUGAACCUAAAACAAAAUGCAAACAACAAUCAACUCGAUCAAACAAUCAGUUACCUUUGGUUAAUUUGAUCAUUGGUCAACCAGGUGAUUUAGAACUUGAAAUUAUUGAGAAAUCCCGUCGAUAUGAUUCAAUUUGCAAUUUUAUUCUUAUUCCUAUUAAUCAAUCAUCCAAAGAUAUGAUGAUGUCUUUUCCAUCAUCAUCAUCAUUUAGUAAUAAUAAGGAACAAUCAUCUUCACCAUUAUUAUUAUUAUCUUCAUCCUCCAAUUCAUCAACAAGUUUAUCUUCAUUUCCAUUAACACCAAUUUCAUCAACAAACCAUCAACCAUUGACACCGACACCGCCAUCAUCAAAUAAUAACAAUAAUAAUAAUAAUAAACCAUCAGCAUCACAUUAUCAUCCAUAUAUUAUCAAUCAACUUGGAUUACUGGGUUGUUCAUUUAUUGAUAUUUCCAUGAACGGUAAAUCAAUUGAUAAAAGAGACACAAUCAAAUAUCAACAAGUGUUGAAAGAAAUUUCAAAAAGUUACAAAAUUAACAAAGUUUUCCUUGUCUACCGUUCAUCUGACCCGGACAAUCAACAAACUAAUCAUCGUUACCAUCAAGAGCAUCCCAGUUCUCAUCAUCAUCAACAACAACCACAUCAUCACAUUGAUCUUUCAAAUCAAUUAAUGAUUCAAUUAUUGGAUUAUAUUACUAAUUCAAGGGAGAUCUCAAUCAACUUUCUCACCCUCAUCUCUUGUUCAUUAACUCAAGAUUGUACUUUUAUUUGGCCUCAAUUGGUUAGGAAAUGUCAACAAUUUGGUAAAAGGUCCGGAGUUAACAGUAUAACAAUUAACUUGACUGAUUUAUUUUCAUCCGAUGAUCCUAAUUAUUGGUCUCAACUGGAUCAAUACAUAAGUCAAUUAUAUUGUCAACUAAUUGGUUCUAAUGAUAUGACAGAUAAUACUAAUAAUAACAGAAAAGUCAAUGGAGUGUACAAAUUAACUUGCAAAGUGGACAAUCAAUAAUUAAUCAUUAAGACUACGAGUAUGACAAAAACAACGAGAUCACUUUCAAUACAUUAGAAACAUUUGACUUAUUACAAUUAAUUUGAUUGUAAAAAUGAUGAAACAAUCAAAGAAACCAAACCUCAAAGGAAAAGGUCAACAAAAGUAACAAUCAAAUUAUCAACUAAUGACAAUCAAUUAACUUAAUCAUCUGAUUGUUGAUUAUGGAUUUAAAACAAGACAUUGGGAUUAAACGGGGAUUUUUUUUAUAUUUGACAAGAUAAUUAAGAUUAUGAUGAUUACCCAAAGAUUAAUGAAUGACUCUCUUUAGACUAAAUCAUUAAUCUAAAUCAAUCAUCAAGAUUAAAUUUACUUUUUCUAUUACAUAUUAAACUUGUUGAUUGUUAAUCGUUGAUUUCAUAUUAUAUCAUCAUCAUCAUCAUCAUCAUUUGAAAGCUGAUUUGAAAGUAAUCAUAAUUUUGUCUUAACUAACCAAUAAUGUUAACCUUAAAUUGUGACAAUUUAAAAAUAACAAGAAAACAUAUUAGAUUAGACAAGAAAUUAGGUUAAAUUGUUACACAUUUAUUACUAUUAUUGUUUUAAUACUUUUUACAUGAUCAGUGAAAAUAAACACUAAUCAAGAUAAUCUUGAUAAUCCUUGAUUGUUAUUGUUAACCAAAUGAUUUAAUGUCAAACUUCAUGCUGUUUGUUUGUUGUAAGAUGAUAUUUAUUGUUGAUUGUUGAUAAACACGAGAAAAUUGUCAAUUACUGUCAAUCAAUUGGAUUAAAUUUGAUUGUAACAUUUUUGAAUAACAUGAUCAUUAUAAUGAAAUAAAUCACAAUUAAGAUUUAA